GCAAACUUGGUCAUUUAGAGGAAGUAAAAGUCGUAACAAGGUCUCCGUUGGUGAACCAGCGGAGGGAUCAUUACAGAGUCUCCGAACUCCAAACCUUUGUGAACCUACCACCGUUGCUUCGGCGGGAACCCCCCGGGACGGGCACUGCACGCCCCGGGCGCCCGCCGAGGGCCCCAAACCAUCUUAUCCACAGUGGACUCUUCAGAGUUUGAUAUACAAUCAAUCAAAACUUUCAGCAACGGAUCUCUUGGCUCUGGCAUCGAUGAAGAACGCAGC
rnacentral:misc_RNA from 1 species